UACGUAGGUGACAAGCGUUGUCCGGAUUUACUGGGCGUAAAGAGCGCGCAGGCGGUCGUUCAAGUCGAGUGUGAAAGCCCCCGGCUCAACUGGGGAGGGUCACUCGAUACUGAUCGACUCGAAGGCAGGAGAGGGAAGUGGAAUUCCCGGUGUAGUGGUGAAAUGCGUAGAUAUCAGGAGGAACACCAAUGGCGAAGGCAGCUCGCUGGGACGGUACUGACGCUGAGACGCGAAAGCGUGGGGAGCAAACAGG
rnacentral:rRNA from 1 species